UACGGAGGGUGCAAGCAUUAAUCGGAAUUAUUGGGCGUAAAGGGCGCGUAGGCGGAUUUAUAAGUCAGAUGUGAAAUUCCAAGACUCAAUUUUGGAGCUGCAUUUGAAACUGUAAGUCUUUAGAGGGUAGACGGAGAAAACGGAAUUCCACAUGUAGCGGUGAAAUGCGUGGAUAUGUGGAAGAACACCGGUGGCGAAAGCGGUUUUCUAGUUUAUUCCUGACGCUGAUGCGCGAGAGCAAGGGGAGCAAACAGG
rnacentral:rRNA from 1 species